AAAUCAAUAAUCAAAGUAAACAACUGCAUUAACUCAAUCUAACCUCAGAAUCCAUAAUGGAAUUACAACAGAAUAGCCCUAGAUGCUUAGCUCUCCAUGAUUGGAGUUGAAUACAAGAUGAAAUAAGAGAGAGAGAAAAGUGGUGAAUGAAUGAAUGAAGUGAAGUCAAGUCCCUUUUCUAUCUCCCAUGGGUCUCUUUAUAUAGGGCUUGAUUGGGCUUGGACUCUGAAUAUGCAGUUCACAUAAUCUUUUAUCUUAUAUCUUCCAAAUAACAAAAAGAUUUAGAUAAUUAUAACAUUAUUUGGAAGAUAUUUUAUCUUGAUAUUCCCAAAUUAAAUUAAUUCAACAACUGAAUUUUAUCUUUUAGCUUUUCUGAAUUUCCAAAAUUGCACAAAUGCCUUGAAAUUUCCUCUCUCUGCACUUUAGCCCCUUCCAAAUUCUCCAAAAUUGCACCAGAACCCCUGUUGACCAGCUUUCACCAAAGAGGCUGCGCCCAAUGAAUGCCCGCCACGUGUGGCGUAAGGAAGCUGAUUGGUGGGAUCCCCUUGUGGGUUGCACCGCCGACUGACCCUGAUCUUCUGUGAAGUGUUUGAGUGAGAGCAUACCUGUCGGGACCCGAAAAAUGGUGAACUAUGCCUGCACGGGGCGAAGCCAGAGGAAACUCUGGUGGAGGCCCGCAGUGAUAAUGUCGUGCAAAUCGUUCGUCUAACUUGGGUAUAAGGGUGAAAGACUAAUCGAACCGUCUAGUAGUUGGUUCCCUCCGAAGUUUCCCUUAGGAUAGUUGGAGCCCGCGGGCGAGUUCUAUCGGGUAAAGCCAAUGAUUAGAGGCAUCAGGGGUGCAAUGCCCUCGACCUAUUCUCAAACUUUAAAUAGGUAGGACGGUGCGGCUGCUCUGUUGAGCCGUGCCACGGAAUCAAGAGCUCCAAGUGGGCCAUUUUUGGUAAGCAGAACUGGCGAUGCGGGGUGAAUCGGAAGCUAGGUUACGAUGCCUAACUACGCAUUAACCUAGACCCCACAAAGGGUGUUGGUCGAUUAAGAUAGCAGGACGGUGGUCAUGGAAGUCGAAAUCCACUAAGGAGUGUGUAACAACUCACCUGCUGAAUCAACUAGCCCCAAAAAUGAAUGGCGCUAAAGCGCGCGACCUAUACCCGGCCGCCGGGGCAAGGACCAAGCCCCGAUGAAUAGAAGGACGCGGCGGUCGCUGCAAAACCCAAGGCGUGAGCUCGGGCAAAGCGGUCGUCGGUGCAUAUCUUUAUGGUAGUACAAAAUAUUCAAAUGAGAACUUUGAAGGCCGAAGAGGGUAAAGGUUCCAUGUGAACGACACUUGCACAUGGGUUAGUCGAUCCUAAGGGAUGGGGGAAGCCCAUCUGAUAGCGCUUUCAGCGCGUACUCCGAAAGGGAAUCGGGUUAAAAUUCCUGAACCGGGACGUGGCGGCUGACGACAACGUUAGAGAGUCCGGAGGUGUCAGCGAGGGCCCCGAAAAGAGUUAUCUUUUCUGUUUAACAGCUUGCCUACCUUGGAAAUGGCUCAGCCAGAGGUAGGGUCCAGCGGCUAAAAGAGCACCGCACGUCGCGUGGUGUCGGGUGCGCCCCCGGCAGCCCUUGAAAAUUGAUAACAGUUGAAAAACUGUUAUUUUUAUACUUAAAAUUGACGUCAAUUACAACCUUUAUGACUAAGAAAUUAGCUUGAACUCAUGAUUUUGUUGAAUUGUUAGAAAUAAGAGAGUUGAAUGUGAAUUUAAUGGUUUUGUGCUACAUUCCCUUGAUUUGGUAGGCUAAUUGAAUUGUUUGAAAGAAGAGUUGAAGUACGGAAUGAUUGGAAUGCAGAAAAGUCAACCAGUCAACCAGCAAAGUCAACCAGUCAACCAGUCAACCAGAAUGCAAAAAAGUCAACCAGAGUGUAGAAAAAGUUGCAAUCGAGUGGCGUUGAGCGGUAAUUUCCGCUGAGCACUAGUUUUCAGGUGUCGAAAUCACCAUUGAGGGGCAAAAAACAGCAGUUGAGGGGAAAAACUAAGGUGUCGCCCUUGCCGCUGAGCGGUAAAAACCAUUGAGCAACACUUUUCUCGGUUUGGGCCUACUUUUAUGUAUUUUUUAGAAUAUUAUAUAAGCUUUAGGAUGUUCUAGGGUUUGUAUCUUUGGCUGGAACGAAGCAAGAAUGCACUCUUUCACCCCUUGGAGGAGGAUUUUGGAUGAUAAGGCUCCUUUCUCAACUUUCUAGGGUUCUAUCCUUCACUUUUCCAUUGUAUUUCAUCUAGUUUCACCAUGAAUAUUGGGAACUAAACUUAUUUUGUUGUUGGGGAAUCAACCCCAACAUAUUACAAACCUAGACAUAGGAGUAUGAUGGUUGGUUUCCUUUAAGCUUUUGUGCUUCAGAAUUAAUUAUUAGGGAUGCUAGGAAUUGUAUGAACUCAUAAUUAAGGAUAGGCUUUCUUCACCGAGACAUCGGGUUUAAAGUAAUUUAGAAAGUGGCAUUAACAUUAAUGAAAAGAAUGAUGAAUUC
rnacentral:rRNA from 1 species